rnacentral:misc_RNA from 1 species
AGAUACCCAUCAAUCAAUUUAACUAAGUACAAUGCCAAUCAAAAAACAAGCCAUAUGGAUAUGUUAAUCAUUCAAUAUCCCCAAAAUGGUGAAUUUAAGCAAACACAUAAUAAUCAAAUGCAACAACUUCAAGCCCAACAAAAAAUUAUCAAAAAAGCCAUUUCAGUAGGAUAACACAGACUUGCAUUGCAGCUUCACAAAUUGGGUCACACAAUUACACGAACGCCAAGUUUGUGUUACUGAUUUUCCUUAAAACAAUGCAAAGAAACAUAAAUACCAAAAUCAAACAAAUCAUAAACAGAGACCAGAAACAGAAACCGAAAGAUAUCAAACAAACACAGCGUUUGAUCUAUUGUUAGUGGCAUCUACUGGUUUGUUUGCAUUCUCGGCCCAACAGAGUCGAAGGCAAAUGGGCUGUAGAUCUCUCCGGCAGCUU